UGGGGAAUUUUGGACAAUGGGCGCAAGCCUGAUCCAGCCAUUCCGCGUGAGUGAAGAAGGCCUUCGGGUUGUAAAGCUCUUUCGCAAGGGAAGAAAACUUAGUCUCUAACAUAGACUGAGGUUGACGGUACCUUGAUAAGAAGCACCGGCUAACUACGUGCCAGCAGCCGCGGUAAUACGUAGGGUGCGAGCGUUAAUCGGAAUUACUGGGCGUAAAGCGUGCGCAGGCGGUUUUGUAAGUCAGAUGUGAAAUCCCCGAGCUCAACUUGGGAACUGCGUUUGAAACUACAAGACUAGAAUAUGUCAGAGGGGGGUAGAAUUCCACGUGUAGCAGUGAAAUGCGUAGAGAUGUGGAGGAAUACCAAUGGCGAAGGCAGCCCCCUGGGAUAAUAUUGACGCUCAUGCACGAAAGCGUGGGGAGCAAACA
rnacentral:rRNA from 1 species